CAGUAGCCGCGGGAAUACGUAGGGUGCGAGCGUUAAUCGGAAUUACUGGGCGUAAAGCGUGCGCAGGCGGUUUUGUAAGACAGAGGCGAAAUCCCCGGGCUCAACCUGGGAACUGCCUUUGUGACUGCAAGGCUAGAGUACGGCAGAGGGGGAUGGAAUUCCGCGUGUAGCAGUGAAAUGCGUAGAUAUGCGGAGGAACACCGAUGGCGAAGGCAAUCCCCUGGGCCUGUACUGACGCUCAUGCACGAAAGCGUGGGGAGCAAACAGGAUUAGAUACCCCCGUAGUCCCUGUCUCUUAUAC
rnacentral:rRNA from 1 species